rnacentral:rRNA from 1 species
AAUCCAUGAGUAAAGUGGCGCACGGGUGAGUAACACGUGACUAACCUACCCUUGAGUGGGGAUAACCUAGGGAAACCUGGGCUAAUACCGCAUAAUACCUACGGGUCAAAGGAGCAAUUCGCUUUAGGAGGGGGUCGCGGCAGAUUAGUUAGUUGGCAGGGGUAAAUGGCCUACCAAGACGAUGAUCUGUAUCCGGCCUGAGAGGGCGCACGGACACACUGGAACUGAAACACGGUCCAG